rnacentral:rRNA from 1 species
UUGAAAGGGAAACGAUUGAAGUCAGUCAUACCAACGGGAAAUCAACCUUUUGAGCUUGGUCUCGUGGGUUUUGAAGAGUUUCAAUGCCUUCGGACUCGCGGGAUUGGGAUCUCUUGGUGUACUUUUUCGUACGGUUAGUCAACAUCGAUUUUGAAUGUCAUAAAAUGACUGGAGGAAUGUAGCUUCGAUCUCGUAUUGAAGUGUUAUAGCCUUUGGUAGAUGUGAUGUUUGAGACCGAGGAUUGCAACGGAUACCCUUCAGGGCUAUUCGUCUGAUCUCUGAUACGUUGCCCUGAUGUUGAAAGCUUGCUUAUGAUGUUAGGGUAUUACGGUCAAAAGGUUAGAACGAAUUACAUUCGUUAAGGAUGUUGACGUA